rnacentral:lncRNA from 12 species
GGGUGCAAAAGAGGAAACCAGAGCUGGCCAGGUGGAGAGGCGUGUCUGCAGGCAGAACCAGAACUAGACAUCUUCUGCCCCCAAGGCCCACCACAGCUGCCAGAAAUAAGGCGGCGGAUCACCGUGCCUGCCUCCACCCCUGGCCCCGGUGGAGAAGUGAAACACAAACCCACCAGCGUCAGAAAGAAGAGAAGGAACCAGCUGAGGUGAGGAGAGUUGAGUGGCCCCCCAAAUCCUGCCAAAAGGACAGUCCAGGACGAGGUCAAGUGGAGGGCAGCGAGAGGGUGGAGGCGGUGGGAGGAUAGUGUGACAAAAAGGGGACUGGUGGCUGAGUCGGCCAGUGCAAGGGGUGAAAAGCCGAUCCUGAGAAUGCGGAAGGAAGCCCUUUUAUCAGCGUUAACAAGAACAGAGAGGGAAGUUGUUUGCAUCUGGUCAGAUACCUCGGCUAUGACCUCCUGUCUCGAAGAGAAGGGUCCCUGCAAGCUUUGCUUUCAAAAGUCUCUUGGGAGAAAACACAUGGCCCCGAUUCUUAGAAGCUGCCCUCACCCCAACUGCAUACACGUCUCCACUGCUUUUUGACCGGCUCCAAGGGGUGGGCCCUCUGCCUGCUGUACCUUCAGUCUCUAAUGAGAGUUAACAUUUCCCAGGCUUUCAGCCUAUCCAUUUGAUAGGUGAAGACUGAGGCUGGAACCCGGCCUCUCUGGUCCUCACUCUGCCAUUGGUCGGCUCUGGGAUCCUCGUGGCUUCACGUGUCCUGCCUCAGUUUUCCCAUCUGCAAAGUGGACACGUUCAGACCACAUCCUCCUUUCAGUCCUUCCUCUUUCUUUCCCUCCAGAGGCUGUGGAAUUCGAAGGCAAAAGUCACCCUGAUCAAAUGGUGUGGAUUAAUGACCCGGCCCUGAGGUCAGCCCCUGGAAGCAAUGACUUUUAUCCCUGAGGCUCCCCCUCAAAAGACCCCAGAGGUUGUUCUCCUGAAAGAUGAGGCUGCCUGGAAAAUGAAUCCGUCAAAUCUGUUGGCAGCACAGAAACUCCUUGAGCCCGCAGGGCAGCACCCCGACGUGCCUCGCGCCAGCUGGAUCCUGAUGCAGCUGGAUUCGCUGUGGGAGUGCCAGCCUCUGCCCGGAGCCCUGGUCUGCAGCAGCCCUUUGACAUUGGGAUGUGCCUUUUCUUGUCUGGUUGGCCUGGCCUCAAAGCUAACAAGCAGCCCAUUCCCACACCAGGGUGAAGUGGGUGCUCGAGAGAUCACCAGUGGAGAUAGUGAAAUCUAGUCCCCCAGUGAAGGCGGCCAGCAGAUAAAGUGACGGCCCUGGGCUCUAUCAUUCUCACUGCGGCUCAUCCACCCUCAUCGAUGGAUCUAGUCCAACUCCCAGGUCAGAGUUCUGGGCUCCCUGGCCUCAGCUCGUAGAGCCUGUGUAUGUGUCAUCAAUAUUUGUCACUGUUUGCCUUAGAAACGUUGGUCAUUAUCAAGGAAGAUUGCUUUGGAAAGAACAGUCAAUGAGCCUGGCCUUGCUGGAGACACCAAGGCAGGGUAGCCGGCCCCAAGGGUGAUUAGACAAGCCUCUGACACCAGAGGAUGAGGCUAUUCAAAAGAUAAGGUAGGAAGCGUGCACACCACACACAACACUUUCAAUUCAUGAAAGCAAUUAUUCUGUUGAUUUAAGAAGAAGGAGAUUCCGGGGGCCCCGGGGUGGCCCAGUUGGUUGACUGACUAUUUGUUUGAUCUCAGUGCUGAGAUCGAGCCCCAUAUCAGGCUCAAUGUCAGACCCUAAUUGUCCCUCUCUGUCCCUCCACUUGUACACUCUCUCACUCUCUCUCAAAUAAAUAAAUAAAAGGAAAAUAAAAAAGGAGAUUC